AUGGUGCGGCUGACGCUGGAACAUAUGGCGAGGGAGGCCGCGCUGGCCGGCUGCCUCACCACAUUCCUCGACCUCUCCCACCGCUCCUUCACCGACGUGUCGUGCUUGGGGAGCUUCAAGAACCUGGAGCGCCUCGACCUCGGCCACAACUGCCUCGUCACGCUCGAGGGCUUGUCCGCAUGCACCAAUCUAAAAUGGCUCUCAGUCAUCGAAAACAAGCUUGUGAGCUUGAAAGGUGCCGAAUUCCUCUCAAAGCUACAGGCAUGA
rnacentral:rRNA from 1 species